ensembl:snoRNA SNORD114-16 small nucleolar RNA, C/D box 114-16
UGGACCAAUGAUGACAACUGGUGUGAGUCAUGCAUAAUGAAUACCAUGUAUCUGGAACUCUGAGGUCCAA